UAUGUGUGUACUCGUUGUAUGUAACUUUCACCUCAAUUUAAAAACACUGCAUCUUGACCCUUGCAUCCCUUUAAUUAUGUGUGGCCCUCACAUAAUCCCGUAUUUUUGGCCAGCCUUCAUUUCCAUGUGGUUCCCAUCACUCCUGCUGAGUUGCUCCCACCCACAUGUCCUGCCCCCACCUUUAUGUUGCAGGUACCUUCUGGGAAGAACUACAUUAUCUCUUCCCUACCAAGCUCUCCAAGACAAUUCUUACUUAGAGUCUGUACUCCUCUACUAACUUGCUGAGUGGCCUCAGAUCAGGCUGGUGUAAAGCUCUUCUUCCUCUUCCUAACUGGGGGACAAGGUUAUCUUUCCAAAGGAAGGCAGAUCACAUCAUUCAACAAUAUAAAGACCUGCAGUGGCUUCCGGUUUAGUUACUCUCAGAUUCCUACCACCAUCGCAAGAACAAGCCCCGGCUAGCCUGUUGGAGAAUGAGAGACACAUGGAGCACAGCAAGGCCAUCCUAGAACAGCCAGCUCCUGGCCAACCCUCCAGCUGCCUGAAGAUGCAUGAAAGAUCCCCCGCUUCCCAAACUGGCAAAACUACCCAGAUUGCCCACAGCGGCUGCACAAAUGUACGUCCCCGUCAUCAGCGUACGACGGUCCCGUUUUCUC